rnacentral:rRNA from 1 species
AAUGAACGUUGGCGGCGUGGAUUAGGCAUGCAAGUCGAGCGGAAAGGCCCGCAAGGGCACUCGAGCGGCGUAAGGGACAGUAAUGUGUAGGUACGUACCCCUGGGUCUAGGAUAGCUGCGGGAAACUGCAAUUAAUACUAGAUGAUGUCUUCGGACCAAAGGUGUGAUUCCACCCAGGGAGCGGCCUACAUCCUAUUAGCUAGUUGGUGAGGUGACGGCUCACCAAGGCGAAGAUGGGUAGCAGGUGUGAGAGCACGACCUGCGUCACUGGGACUGAGACACUGCCCAGACACCUACGGGUGGCUGCAGUCGAGAUUCUUCGGCAAUGGGCGAAAGCCUGACCGAGCGACGCCGCGUGCGGGAUGAAGGCCUUCGGGUUGUAAACCGCUGUCGGAGGGGAUGAAAUGCCGAUGGGUACUCCCAACGGCUUGACUGAUCCUCGGAGGAAGGGUGGGCUAAGUUCGUG